GUGCCCGUGGUGAAAUUGGUAUACACGCUACCUUGAGGUGGUAGUGGCGCAAGCUGUGCUGGUUCAAGUCCAGUCGGGCACACCA
rnacentral:tRNA from 1 species